rnacentral:rRNA from 1 species
GAUGAACGCUGGCGGCGUGCCUAAUACAUGCAAGUCGAGCGAACGGACGAGACGUUUGCUUUUCUGAUGUUAGCGGCUGACGGGUGAUUAACACGUGGAUAACCUACCUAUAAGACUGGGAUAACUUCGGGAAACCGGAGCUAAUACCGGAUAAUAUUUUGAACCGCAUGGUUCAAAAGUGAAAGACGGUCUUGCUGUCACUUAUAGAUGGAUCCGCGCUGCAUUAGCUAGUUGGUAAGGUAACGGCUCACCACGGCAACGCUGCAUAGCCGACCUGAGAGGGUGAUCGACCACACUGGAACUGAGACACGGUCCAGACUCCUACGGUAGGCAGCAGUAGGGAAUCUGCCGCAAUGGGCGAAAGCCUGACGGAGCAACGCCGCGUGAGUGAUGAAGGUCUUCGGAUCGUAAAACUCUGUUAUUAGGGAAGAACAUAUGUGUAAGUAGCUGUGCACAGCUUGACGGUACCUAAUCAGAAAGCCACGGCUAACUACGUG